CUUUACUGUAGCCUGGUAUUGGGUUCGGGCUUUGACUGCGCAGGAUAGGUGGGAGACUAUGAGGCUGCCCUUGUGGGGGCAGUGGAGUCAUCAGUGAGAUACCACUCUGUCAAGGCUAGAAUUCUAACCGUCUGCCGUUAUCCGGCGACGGAGCAGUAUCAGGUGGGCAGUUUGACUGGGGCGGUCGCCUCCUAAAUGGUAACGGAGGCGCGCAAAGGUUCCCUCAGGCUGGUUGGAAAUCAGCCGAAGAGUGUAAAGGCAGAAGGGAGCUUGACUGCAAGAGCAACAACUCAAGCAGGGACGAGAGUCGGCCUUAGUGAUCCGACGGCGCUGAGUGGAAGGGCCGUCGCUCAACGGAUAAAAGUUA
rnacentral:rRNA from 1 species